rnacentral:rRNA from 1 species
GGGUUUGAUCAUGGCUCAGAACGUACGCUGGCGGCACGCCUAACACAUGCAAGUCGAACGAAGUAGCAAUACUUAGUGGCAGACGGGUGAGUAACAUGUAGGUAUCUGCCCUUUGGCCUGGAAUAACACGAGGAAACUUGUGCUAAUACCGGAUAAGUCUUUACGGAGAAAGCUUUAUGCACCAUUGGAUGAGCCUGCACUUGAUUAGUUUGUUGGUGGGGUAAUGGCCUACCAAGACUGUGAUCAAUAGCUGAUUUGAGAGGAUGAUCAGCCACAUUGGGACUGAGACACGGCCCAAACUCCUACGGGAGGCAGCAGUGGGGAAUCUUGCACAAUGGAGGAAACUCUGAUGCAGCGAUGCCGCGUGAGUGAAGAAGGCCCUUGGGUUGUAAAGCUCUUUCGUCGGGGAAGAAAAUGACUGUACCCGAAUAAGAAGGUCCGGCUAACUUCGUGCCAGCAGCCGCGGUAAUACGAAGGGACCUAGCGUAGUUCGGAAUUACUGGGCUUAAAGAGUUCGUAGGUGGUUGAAAAAGUUGGUGGUGAAAUCCCAGAGCUUAACUCUGGAACUGCCAUCAAAACUUUUCAGCUAGAGUAUGAUAGAGGAAAGCAGAAUUUCUAGUGUAGAGGUGAAAUUCGUAGAUAUUAGAAAGAAUACCAAUUGCGAAGGCAGCUUUCUGGAUCAUUACUGACACUGAGGAACGAAAGCAUGGGUAGCGAAGAGGAUUAGAUACCCUCGUAGUCCAUGCCGUAAACGAUGUGUGUUAGACGUUGGAAAUUUAUUUUCAGUGUCGCAGCGAAAGCGAUAAACACACCGCCUGGGGAGUACGACCGCAAGGUUAAAACUCAAAUGAAUUGACGGGGACCCGCACAAGUAGUGGAGCAUGUGGUUUAAUUCGAAGAUACGCGCAGAACCUUACCAACACUUGACAUGUUCGUCGCGACUUUAAGAGAUUAAAGUUUUCGGUUCGGCCGGACGAAACACAGGUGCUGCAUGGCUGUCGUCAGCUCGUGUCGUGAGAUGUUGGGUUAAGUCCCGCAACGAGCGCAACCCUCACUUUUAGUUGCCAUCAUUAAGUUGGGCACUCUGAAAGAACUGCCAGUGAUAAGCUGGAGGAAGGUGGGGAUGACGUCAAGUCCUCAUGGCCCUUACGUGUUGGGCUACACACGUGCUACAAUGGUAUCUACAACAGGAAGCAAGACUGCGAAGUUAAGCAAAUCCUUAAAAGAUACCUCAGUUCGGAUUGCACUCUGCAACUCGAGUGCAUGAAGCUGGAAUUACUAGUAAUCGUGGAUCAGCGUGCCACGGUGAAUGCGUUCCCGGGUCUUGUACACACCGCCCGUCACACCAUGGGAGUUGGUUCUACCUUAAGGCAAGGUUUCAAACCCUUGACCACGGUAUAGUCAGCGACUGGGGUGAAGUCAUAACAAGGUAGCCGUA